rnacentral:rRNA from 1 species
GGCGUGCCUAAUAAUGCAAGUAGAACGCUGAAGGAGGAGCUUGCUUCUCCGGAUGAGUUGCGAACGGGUGAGUAACGCGUAGGUAACCUGCCUGGUAGCGGGGGAUAACUAUUGGAAACGAUAGCUAAUACCGCAUAAUAGUAGAUGUUGCAUGACAUUUGCUUAAAAGGUGCAAUUGCACCACUACCAGAUGGACCUGCGUUGUAUUAGCUAGUUGGUGGGGUAACGGCUCACCAAGGCGACGAUACAUAGCCGACCUGAGAGGGUGAUCGGCCACACUGGGACUGAGACACGGCCCAGACUCCUACGGGAGGCAGCAGUAGGGAAUCUUCGGCAAUGGACGGAAGUCUGACCGAGCAACGCCGCGUGAGUGAAGAAGGUUUUCGGAUCGUAAAGCUCUGUUGUAAGAGAAGAACGAGUGUGAGAGUGGAAAGUUCACACUGUGACGGUAUCUUACCAGAAAGGGACGGCUAACUACGUGCCAGCAGCCGCGGUAAU